CGUACAUCCCUAGCUUGCAGUGACCAACGUCGUCUCAUUCAUACUUCUUUUUCAAUGUAAUUUUUGCUCUUUCGUGUAUUUUUUAACGAAUAAGAAUAAUGUGUUAAAAGUUCAAUGUAAAUCGUAUCGUCGUGUGUUCGUGCAGACGUGCAAUUGUUAACCUACAACAACAAACUGUUUUUGGUGUGUCUUCACAAGCAACGCGAAACAAAAUUGCUAAAAAUCUAAACCGAGACGAAACAUAAUAAGAAAUCAACAAACAACGAACGACCAAAAGAAAAGAAGAUCAAUCAGCAUAAAAAAAAAACUUAAACAAAAGUCAACGUCAACGUUGACGCAGACAACAGUAUUCGUAUUCUCUCCCGUUUUUUUUUUACUAACACUUAUCAAAAAAUAAUAAAAGUGCGUGUGUUAUCUCUGUCGAAAUAAUAAAAAAGACCAACAAUUAAAAGAGAGCAGAGGAGUAGCAUACAACAACAACUCGCAACUCCCAACCAGAGAGUCAAAAUAACAAGCCGUCAAGAUGACGCAACCGUUACCCAUACGCUUUCAAGAGCAUUUACAGCUCACAAAUGUCGGCAUCAAUCCGAACUCCUUCUCAUUCAGCACGCUCACAAUGGAGUCGGAUAAGUUCAUCUGUGUGCGGGAGAAGUCGAACGAUACCGCUCAGGUGGUCAUCAUUGACAUGAACGAUUCAUCGAAUCCUACGCGCCGUCCCAUAUCAGCGGACUCGGCCAUUAUGAAUCCGGCUAGCAAGGUGAUUGCGCUUAAAGCGCAAAAGACACUGCAGAUCUUCAACAUUGAGAUGAAGUCGAAAAUGAAGGCGCACACGAUGAACGAGGAUGUGGUAUUCUGGAAGUGGAUAUCACUGAAUACGCUCGCCCUGGUCACCGAGACGAGCGUCUUCCAUUGGUCCAUGGAGGGCGAUUCGAUGCCACAGAAAAUGUUCGAUAGACAUUCCUCCCUCAAUGGCUGUCAGAUAAUCAAUUAUCGUUGCAAUGCCUCCCAACAGUGGCUACUGCUUGUUGGCAUCUCGGCGCUGCCCAGCCGCGUCGCUGGCGCCAUGCAGCUGUAUUCGGUGGAGCGCAAGGUGUCUCAGGCCAUUGAGGGACACGCCGCCAGUUUUGCCACCUUCAAGAUCGAGGGCAACAAGGAGCCAACAACGCUCUUCUGCUUCGCCGUACGCACCGCAACUGGAGGCAAGCUGCACAUCAUUGAGGUAGGAACGCCGCCAAAUGGCAAUCAACCCUUCCCGAAGAAGGCUGUCGAUGUAUUCUUUCCGCCGGAGGCACAAAAUGAUUUUCCGGUUGCUAUGCAAGUUUCCGCAAAAUACGAUACCAUCUAUUUGAUAACCAAAUAUGGAUAUAUCCAUUUGUACGAUAUGGAAACGGCCACGUGCAUCUACAUGAAUCGCAUAUCGGCCGAUACGAUUUUUGUGACCGCACCGCACGAGGCCAGCGGCGGCAUCAUUGGCGUCAAUCGCAAGGGUCAAGUGCUGUCCGUGACCGUCGAUGAGGAACAAAUCAUACCCUAUAUCAAUACAGUGCUCCAAAAUCCGGAUCUCGCCUUGCGCAUGGCCGUGCGUAACAAUUUGGCUGGCGCCGAGGAUCUGUUCGUGCGUAAAUUCAAUAAACUCUUUGGAGCCGGCCAGUAUGCCGAGGCCGCCAAAGUCGCAGCAUUGGCGCCAAAGGCCAUUCUACGUACGCCGCAGACAAUUCAACGUUUCCAGCAGGUGCAAACACCGGCUGGGUCAACGACGCCGCCGCUCUUGCAGUACUUUGGCAUCCUGCUCGACCAGGGUAAACUGAAUAAGUUUGAAUCUUUGGAGCUGUGCCGUCCCGUGCUCUUGCAGGGCAAGAAGCAGCUAUGCGAGAAAUGGCUGAAAGAGGAGAAGCUCGAGUGCAGCGAGGAACUGGGUGAUUUGGUGAAGACAUCGGAUCUAACACUCGCUCUGUCCAUCUAUCUGCGCGCUAAUGUGCCCAACAAGGUCAUUCAAUGCUUUGCCGAAACGGGUCAAUUCCAAAAGAUUGUGCUCUAUGCCAAGAAGGUCAACUAUACGCCCGACUAUAUAUUCCUGUUGCGCUCCGUGAUGCGCAGCAAUCCGGAACAAGGCGCUGGCUUUGCUUCCAUGCUGGUGGCCGAAGAGGAGCCAUUGGCCGACAUCAAUCAAAUUGUGGACAUCUUUAUGGAGCAUUCAAUGGUGCAGCAAUGCACAGCCUUUCUGCUGGAUGCCCUCAAGCAUAAUCGUCCCGCCGAGGGAGCACUGCAGACGCGUCUGCUCGAAAUGAAUCUAUUGUCGGCGCCACAAGUGGCAGAUGCCAUCUUAGGCAACGCCAUGUUCACCCACUACGAUCGCGCCCACAUCGCACAGCUGUGCGAGAAGGCCGGCCUGCUGCAGCGCGCAUUGGAGCACUAUACGGAUCUGUAUGACAUUAAGCGUGCCGUUGUCCAUACGCAUAUGCUGAAUGCGGAAUGGCUGGUCAGUUUCUUUGGCACGCUUUCCGUUGAGGAUUCGCUGGAAUGCUUGAAGGCCAUGCUCACGGCUAAUCUGCGCCAGAACUUGCAGAUUUGUGUGCAAAUCGCCACCAAAUACCACGAGCAACUAACAACCAAGGCGCUGAUUGAUCUAUUCGAGAGUUUCAAGAGCUACGACGGUCUGUUCUACUUUUUGAGCAGCAUUGUGAACUUCUCGCAGGAUCCGGAGGUGCAUUUCAAGUAUAUACAGGCGGCCUGCAAAACCAAUCAGAUCAAGGAGGUGGAGCGCAUCUGCCGCGAAUCGAAUUGCUAUAAUCCAGAGCGUGUCAAGAACUUCCUGAAGGAGGCCAAGCUGACGGAUCAAUUGCCUUUGAUAAUUGUCUGCGAUCGCUUCGAUUUCGUGCACGAUCUGGUCCUCUAUCUGUAUCGCAACAAUCUUCAGAAAUAUAUUGAAAUCUAUGUGCAGAAGGUGAAUCCGUCACGUUUGCCCGUUGUUGUGGGCGGUCUGCUCGAUGUCGAUUGCAGUGAGGACAUUAUCAAGAACCUCAUUCUGGUUGUCAAGGGUCAGUUCUCAACGGAUGAGCUAGUGGAGGAGGUGGAGAAACGCAAUCGCUUGAAAUUGCUGUUGCCCUGGCUGGAGUCGCGCGUCCACGAAGGCUGCGUUGAGCCGGCCACACACAAUGCCUUGGCCAAGAUCUACAUUGACUCCAACAACAAUCCGGAACGUUUCCUCAAAGAGAAUCAAUACUAUGACAGUCGCGUUGUCGGACGCUAUUGUGAGAAGCGUGAUCCACACUUGGCCUGCGUUGCCUACGAACGUGGCCAAUGCGAUCGCGAACUGAUCGCCGUUUGCAAUGAGAAUUCGCUGUUCAAGAGCGAGGCACGCUAUCUGGUUGGCCGUCGCGACGCUGAACUCUGGGCCGAGGUGCUGUCGGAGGCAAAUCCCUACAAGCGCCAGCUUAUCGAUCAGGUGGUACAGACAGCCCUGUCGGAGACACAGGAUCCAGAUGAUAUCUCUGUUACGGUCAAGGCUUUCAUGACCGCCGAUUUGCCCAAUGAGCUGAUCGAGCUGCUCGAAAAGAUUAUAUUGGACUCGUCCGUUUUCAGCGACCAUCGCAAUCUCCAGAAUCUGCUGAUCCUGACCGCUAUCAAGGCGGAUCGCACUCGCGUCAUGGACUACAUCAAUCGUUUGGACAACUACGAUGCGCCAGACAUUGCUAACAUUGCAAUCAGCAAUCAGCUGUACGAGGAGGCAUUCGCCAUCUUCAAGAAGUUCGAUGUGAACACCUCGGCCAUUCAGGUGCUCAUUGAUCAGGUUAACAACUUGGAGCGCGCCAAUGAGUUUGCCGAGCGUUGCAAUGAGCCGGCCGUCUGGUCGCAACUGGCCAAGGCGCAGCUACAGCAGGGCCUGGUCAAAGAGGCCAUCGAUUCGUAUAUCAAGGCCGAUGAUCCCAGUGCCUAUAUGGAUGUCGUUGACGUAGCCAGCAAAGUGGAGUCCUGGGAUGAUUUGGUGCGCUACCUGCAAAUGGCACGCAAGAAGGCACGUGAAUCGUACAUUGAAAGCGAAUUGAUCUAUGCCUAUGCGCGCACCGGUCGCCUCGCCGAUCUCGAGGAGUUCAUCUCGGGUCCCAAUCAUGCGGACAUACAGAAGAUCGGCGAUCGCUGCUUCAGCGAUGGCAUGUACGAUGCCGCCAAGCUCCUGUACAACAACGUUAGCAACUUUGCCCGCUUGGCCAUUACGCUUGUGUAUCUGAAGGAGUUCCAGGGCGCUGUCGACUCGGCACGCAAAGCCAAUUCGACGCGCACCUGGAAGGAGGUGUGCUUCGCCUGCGUCGACGCCGAAGAGUUCCGUUUGGCGCAGAUGUGCGGCCUGCACAUUGUCGUGCACGCCGAUGAGCUGGAGGAUUUGAUUAACUACUAUCAGAAUCGUGGCUACUUCGAGGAGCUGAUUGCGCUGCUGGAAUCGGCGCUUGGUUUGGAGCGCGCCCACAUGGGCAUGUUCAGCGAAUUGGCAAUACUCUACUCCAAGUUCAAGCCCUCUAAGAUGCGUGAGCACUUGGAGCUGUUCUGGUCGCGCGUGAACAUACCGAAGGUGUUGCGUGCCGCCGAAUCGGCGCAUCUGUGGUCCGAGCUGGUCUUUCUCUAUGAUAAGUAUGAGGAAUAUGAUAAUGCUGUGCUCGCAAUGAUGGCUCAUCCCACGGAGGCGUGGCGCGAAGGCCACUUCAAGGACAUCAUCACCAAGGUGGCAAACAUUGAGCUCUACUACAAGGCAACCGAAUUCUAUUUGGAAUUCAAGCCGCUGCUGUUGAACGAUAUGCUCCUGGUGCUAGCCCCACGCAUGGAUCACACUCGUGCCGUUAGCUACUUCUCGAAGACGGGCUAUCUGCCGCUGGUUAAACCGUAUUUGCGCUCCGUACAAUCGCUGAACAACAAGGCCAUCAACGAGGCGCUCAAUGGGCUGCUCAUUGAUGAGGAGGAUUACCAGGGUUUGCGCAAUUCCAUCGAUGGCUUUGACAACUUUGAUACCAUAGCGCUAGCGCAGAAGCUGGAGAAGCACGAGCUCACCGAAUUCCGUCGCAUUGCGGCCUAUCUCUACAAAGGCAACAAUCGCUGGAAGCAGAGCGUUGAGCUGUGCAAAAAGGACAAACUGUACAAGGAUGCUAUGGAGUAUGCUGCCGAGUCUGGUAAACAGGAAAUUGCCGAAGAGCUGUUGGGCUGGUUCCUGGAGCGCAAUGCACACGAUUGCUUUGCGGCAUGUCUAUAUCAGUGCUACGAUUUGCUGCGUCCCGAUGUUAUCCUGGAACUGGCAUGGAAACACAAAAUCAUGGACUUUGCCAUGCCCUAUUUGAUACAGGUGCUGCGCGAGUAUACCACCAAGGUGGAUAAACUGGAGCUGAAUGAGGCGCAGCGCGAGAAGGAGGAUGAUACAACGGAGCAUAAAAACAUAAUUCAAAUGGAGCCGCAGCUGAUGAUAACAGCUGGUCCAGCAAUGGGCAUUCCCCAGCAAUAUGCACCAAAUUAUCCACCUGGUGCGGCGGCAGCAGCAGCAGCGGCAGCGGCAGGACGUAACAUGGGCUAUCCGUAUAUGUAGGCAUUUAACAACAACAACAACACAUUUGUAGCUGUAACAACAUCAACAACAACAACUACAACAUGAGCAGUAGCGGCAGCAACUACAACAACAACAACAACACUAAACUACAACUGAAUGUCGCAUUCAUUAACCUUUUGCAUGAGCGCCAAAAACGACCAAUUUAACAGCAACAAAACACCAACACAACACGCGUAGAGAAUUAUGUAUAUAUAUAUACAUAUAUACACAAACACAUAUAUAUAUAUUUAUAUAUAUCCAUAUAUUUUUUGUUCAUAAUGUUGAGCCCCACACAAAUGUUGCCUUUGACAGAAACCAUAAUUCGGUACAAAAGCAACUAAGCGAAUGCCUAACAACAACAACAACAACAGAGCAAAAGCGACAACAACAAAAGCUUAAAGUAAACA